rnacentral:rRNA from 1 species
GCGCUUUUUGGAUAGGCCAGAAAGCAUGCCUCUUUGAGCAUCGUUUUCACCCCAGCUCGACGGCUUUUUUGAUUUUAACCGAUCAGAGAAGCGCAGUCGGAGAAUGAGUUUGUCUCUUUCAUACUUUGAUAGAGUCACUUUAAAUAUGGGGGAGUUCUCAACCUAUGAAUCAGAAUGUGUUUCCCUUUCGGGGGAAAGCCAUAGCUUUCGAUAUGAAGCACUGAUUUACGUGGAUAAUUCUUAUCAACGUUUAUCUCAAGUGUUUUAUGUUGUGGUCAAUGGUACUGCAUACUAAUUCGCUGAUGAACUCUCAGUGGAAAUGAAACUAAAUCAUUAUUUAUUUUGAAUUAGAUCUCAAAUGAAGCAAGACUACCCGCUGAACUUAAGCAUAUUAUUAAGCGGAGGAAAAGAAACUAACAAGGAUGCCCUCAGUAACGGCGAGUGAAGCGGGCAAAGCUCAACCUGAAAAUCAGAUACCCAAACGGGUGUUUGAGUUGUGGGCUACAGACGCGUGAUCAGUGUGUGACCCAGGUAUAAAUCUUUUGAAACAAGGUAUCAUAGAGGGUGAGAAUCCCGUCUACGACCUGGAGUUCGCCGCGUACGAUCCGUGUUCAUAGAGUCGAGUUGUUUGGGAUUGCAGC